CACGGGUGAGUAACACGUAUGCAAUCCACCUGUAACAGGGGGAGUAACCCGGAGAAAUCCGACUAAUACCCAUAAUAUGGGCGCUCCGCAUGGAGAGUCCAUUAAAGAGAGCAAUCUUGGUUACAGACGAGCAUGCGCUCCAUUAGCCAGUUGGCGGGGUAACGGCCCACCAAGGCGACGAUGGAUAGGGGUUCUGAGAGGAAGGUCCCCCACAUUGGAACUGAGACACGGUCCAA
rnacentral:rRNA from 1 species